ensembl:snRNA U6 U6 spliceosomal RNA
GUGCUCACUUCAGCAGCACAUAUACUAAAAUUGUAACGAUACAGAGAAGAUUAGCAUGGCCCCUACACAAGGAUGACAAGCAACUAUAUGAAGUGUUCCAUAUUUUU